AUAUGUAUAAUGUCCCCCUUUGUAUUUCUUAUUAUUAAAAAAAAAUAUUAAAAAUAAUUUUAAAAGGACGCAGCUGUGCGUUUGAGAAACGACCGGAAACGACUUAUAUGUCGCGAGGCCAUCACGUGACCACAAUAUUUACCAGAAGACCGUUAUUUGCUCGAGUACCCUCAACUUUUUUGUCGCAAAUAACAUUAUUAAUAACCUGUAAAUAAUCAACUUUGUACACAUUACAUUCCUCUUCACUUUGUAAUAGUAUGUUUUUUGGUUUAAUAGUCGGCUUUAAGUUAGUUUUUCUGUCAGUUUGAUCGUCAAAAUCUUGAAAGUUAUCUGCAGCCACACAUCCACUGUAUACCAAGUUAUGAUGAACAAUUAUGAAAAUGCAAAAGGAUUGAUAGAUCAGUAAACAAGCAACAAAAAGAUGGGUGCUCAUGGUGGCCUCCAAAUAAAUACAUGGACAGGCUGCUAAAGAGGGUCAGGAUGAUGGAGAUGCAAGAGCCAAAGACAGCACAGACCAAACACCAGGCCAGAAUUCUGCAUGAGUCAGAUUGAGUAAUUUUCACUCUAGAGACCCUUGGGUGACCACCAAGGACGAAUGCAAACUCCAGUGAGUGUCUCUAAGGUAGAUCCUAAUGCAGAUGGAUGGAAUGUUGAUCCGCCUAACAUGCAAGGUAAAAGAGCAUUUGAUAGCAUAGUGGAUAAACAAAGCUUUUUUCAUUUUCAGAGCAUUUUCAAAAACAACAUAACACUUGCUAUUACAUUGUUAUAUAUUACAUGACCAUGUCUAACUCUGAUCCAUACAAAACAGAUUUUCUGUACCGAGAACUUUGGAUGACCACGUUUUCAAAAAUCUGACCUCAAUUUUAGUAACCAUUUAGAUAUUUUAGAUGUAGUCCGAGAGCUUGCUGACCCUCCAUUAAAAAUGUAUGUACGGUAUACUGUUCAUGUCCAGAAAGGUAAUAAAAACAUCAUCAAAAUAGUUCUUGUGACAUCAGUGGGUCAGUUAGAAUUUGUUGAAGCGGCAAAAAUACAUUUAGGUCCAAAAAUUACGACUUUAUUCGGCAUUGUCUUCUCUUCCGGGUCUGUUGUGAACCGUGUGCAUGACACUGCUUCCGUACGAUGCUGUUGGCUUGUUAUCUGGUGCACCCAAGCUUUUUUUUUCCGUUUACAGUCUGAGAGAGACGCUGUAAACAAAACAAUCUUCGCAAACAUGUCUGAGGAUAACACGUCAGCAGCGUCGUACGUCAGCAGCGCCACUGUGCACGCGCAUUCGCAACAGGCCCGGAAGAGAAGACAAUGCUGAAUAAAUC